CUGCCUUGAUAAUGGCCCUUUCAAGCGCUGCAUGGUUUUGCAGCUCAAACCUGUAGCUUUCUAGAGAGAAGACACAUGCAGAGCAAUAGCAAUCAAAGCAGAACUUGCUCAAUUCAAGUGAGGACACAAAAAUGAGAAUCCUUUGAUUGGAAUAGAAAGGGGAAGAAAGAGAUGAAGGGGAAGGAAAGUCAGAUGGUAGGGAGAAAGGCAUAAAGAGAAUACCAGUAUGGAUUGGGAUGAUGACACCUGGAAAACAGUGAUGCUGAAAGAGACCCGGCACAAGCCUUUAUCCAUCAAAGCAUUUAAGAAUCGAGCCCUUCUAAAAGUCCCAAACUCUACUAUGAUUGCUCUGAAGCCAAGACAAUGUAAAGUGAACAGCGCGAAAGAGAAAACCCUCCUAUAAGCAUGCCGCUUCUGGCUAGCCUGAAACCAACAUAGACAGUGGUGACUGUCUAGGAAGAUGAAGAGAUUCAGCCCCAGCUCACCCAAUUCUAAGGAAUACUUUGAUGAGUGAAUGUUCCUGAGUUGAGAUGCACAUCACUCAGGAGUGGCUAGUGCCGGGGAUUUAAGGUCCAGUAUAAUAAGGCCUGAAGAAUAACAACGGAUGCAGCACAAGGAGGAAAAUGUGUUUAUUCUUUGAAGAACUGAACUGGAUCCUCAGAACUCACCCUUCCCUCGUGCUACUAGUCUUAAAAUUCCUUGCUAAUUACUUGUAAUCCAAAUCCAUAGAGCAGACAUUGAGCCCAACAGAUCACAACAGAUCUCUUUUUAUAUUGAACAUCUACAUGUAGGCUGGGAAGGAUUACACUUUUAUUGGUAAAUGUUGAUUUCAUCAUACACAUACACAAAUUGAUGACGAACCAUUUCCAUCUAUGAUCAUCAAAAUUGGCAAAAAUAGGAAAAAUAAGAAAAAUUCUGCUUCAAGAUAUUUAUUUUGCAUAUUUUGACAUGUGAUGUAGAUAGCUUGUGUUUUAACGGUUAUAAAGUGUUAUCAUUUUGAAUCUCAAUGUCUACUGCUAUUCAAUAAUUAUUGUCCAACCCCCCCAACCAAAAUUUCCUGCAACUGUGACCACUUAAAUUGAUAAAAUUAGAAAAAAAAUCACUUAAAACCCAUCAUUUUGUACAACUGUGAAAAUUUAAAAUAGAUAAAAAUUAAAAAAGGCUUGAAAAUAAACAUCUGAUAUUCUUCAUUACAAUUACAAAAAAAAUUGAGUUCUGACAAGCCUAUCUAUACUGUACAUCAUUUUGCAUGCACUUUACAGAGAUUAAAAACAAGGACAUGGACCAAGAUGCUCAAAAGUGCUAGUUCCCUUUGAUUUCCUAAGGGUGUUAGGGAGUUUUGAGGAUCUGGGCCAUGGUUCCUGUCUCAACAAGUAUAUAGAUUAGCACAAUGUCUGUACUGCAUAGGUGCAUAAUACCAAUCCUAAAAAUAAGGUUUGGAAAGGAGUUACUUUACCAAUAACAAAAGCACACAUUUUCUAAAAUUCAAUACUUCACCCAUUUAUUAUUUUUAUUUACGUUAAAUACUAAAUUGGAUUAGACUACGCUACAGUUGAAAGGCUUGCAAUAUUUUUUAUUUUAAACUGCCAUCGUUUUCAGUUUGCUACUCAAGCACUCUUCCUCCUCCUCACCCCUCCCCAGUUGUAUAACUUUAAAACAUCCAGACAGUGUAUAGUAAAUUCCAGCCUGGAGCACAUUUUUACGCCUGAGCUAUUUCCCCCCUUGUAUGUGGGAUUUUAUGACUCUGACAGACCUACAACCAACCCCAUUGGACUGGGUGUUGCUUUGAUGCAGACUACACUAAUUAAUUAAUAAUACUAAUAUAAUUAAGUUUAUUUGUGACAAUGGAAUUACUUCAAACUGGUUUCAAGUCCUGCCAAUUUCAUUUUCUCUGCUUGGUCAACUGUCUCUUUUAAAACAAACAAAUAUAAUCUUCGGAUGUUUAAUCAUCUCAUUUAUUCAGAUUCAGAUAAUGCUUUGUAUAGCUUCUUUUCCUCCCCCCAGCCCCUCAGCUUUCACUGUGUUACUCUACAUGCAUGGACUCCAUCCAUUAGAGAAGCACUAUACUAAAGAUGAAAUGUUCCAAACAUUAGACCUAGGCUGAUAGUACAAAAAAAAAAAAUGGUUAGGAGAAUACUUCAGAAAAUUCCCACAAUUUCAUUUGCUGCAAUGGUAUGGGGGUCCCUUUUAUUUGUUUCCUGUGAACAGAUAUGGUGAAGUUUUCCCCAGGGAAAUUUCUGUGGAAAGUCGA